CCUACGGGUGGCAGCAGUGAGGAAUAUUGGUCAAUGGACGAGAGUCUGAACCAGCCAAGUAGCGUGAAGGAUGACUGCCCUAUGGGUUGUAAACUUCUUUUAUAAAGGAAUACAACGAGGCACGUGUGCGUUUUUGCAGGUACUUUAUGAAUAAGGAUCGGCUAACUCCGUUCCAGCAGCCGCGGUAAUACGGAGGGUGCGAGAGUUAAUCGGAAGUGCUGGGCGUAAAGCGCUCGUAGGCGGUAUGUCAAGUCAAGGGUGAAAUCCCCGCGCUCAACGUGGGAACUGCCUUUGAAACUGGCAAACUGGAGUGUGUGAGAGGAUAGUGGAAUUCCAGGUGUAGGAGUGGAAUCCGUAGAUAUCUGGAGGAACAUCAGUGGCGAAGGCGACUAUCUGGCACAUAACUGACGCUGAGGAGCGAAAGCGUGGGUAGCAAACAGGAUUAGAUACCCGAGUAGUC
rnacentral:rRNA from 1 species